rnacentral:rRNA from 1 species
GUUUCAGCCGCCGCGGUAAUACGAAGGGGGCUAGCGUUGCUCGGAAUCACUGGGCGUAAAGCGCACGUAGGCGGCUUCUUAAGUCAGGGGUGAAAUCCUGGAGCUCAACUCCAGAACUGCCUUUGAUACUGAGGAGCUCGAGUCCGGGAGAGGUGAGUGGAACUCCGAGUGUAGAGGUGAAAUUCGUAGAUAUUCGGAAGAACACCAGUGGCGAAGGCGGCUCACUGGCCCGGUACUGACGCUGAGGUGCGAAAGCGUGGGGAGCAAACAGGAUUAGAAACCCUGGUAGUCC